rnacentral:lncRNA from 1 species
GUCCCAAUAUCCACGAUAGAGUCAUUAAACAACUUUAUGUAUUACAUUGUAAUUAUAUUUGCAUCUUGCAUAUUAAGGACCAACCCUAUUAUGAGGGUUUGGAUGGGGUUAAAUGAUUAAAGAAUAAUGCCCUUAAAAAUGAAGAUUAGAGAAUAAUGAGCCAAAAAAUAGAAGAUUAGAGAAUAAAAGGGUUAAUUUUUGGAAGAUUAGAGAAAAAAGGGGUUAAUUUUUUAAAGAUUAGAGAAAAAUGGGGUGAAAAUUAAAUGUUUACAGAAUAACAGACCCCCCCCAUCCAUACCCUCUAUUAUUUCAACUCUGUUUGAGUUUUCAUUUUAUUCCGUACUUAUCGUGCUCGUGUUGCAUACCAAUGCCUUUGUUUCAUUUUAUUAGGACAAAAAAAAAAAACAUUGCUUAGAAAGCAAAAUACAUUUGAUAUAGAUAGUCCAACUUAAGAGAGCAUUUCUCCACAUUUCUGUUGUUUACUAUAAAAUAGGUUUCUAAAGUGGCAAUUACAUGUAGAACAGUGGUUGCCAAUCAGAUAUAUAUAUUUACGAAUUUGAAAAAGCGGCAUCAGCAUAUGGAGUAUAUGUGUCUCAAUUGAUACGUUACUCUAGAGCUAGCUAAAAGUACCUUAAUUUUGUUGAACAAGGAAUACUGCUUUCUCAAAAGUUGCUAAGACAGGGCUAUGAAUCAAUCAAAUUAAGGUCAUUACUCAAGCAAUUUUAUGGUCGCCAUCAUGAGCUGAUUGGCCAUUAUCACGGGUAGUAAGGUCGUCAUAUCGAGAAGCGUUUAGUACAGUGAUUUUGUCAUAGUUUGGAUAAGUUUGACAUGACGGUGUUAAGUGUUUUUGAUGACUAUCAAUGCAAAAAUGUAAACAUUCGGAUAUUUUGUAAAAUGAACUUCUGAUCAAUAAUUCAAGCUGGUAAGUACCUUUGUAUAAAGUAUAUAUGUUAGUACAUCACAAGUUGUAUCAUAUAGUUAAAGAUUUAACACAGAAUAAAGCUUGCGUAUAUCAAAAUUUA